UACAGAGGUCUCAAGCGUUGUUCGGAUUCAUUGGGCGUAAAGGGCGCGUAGGCGGUCAGCACAAGUCAGUUGUGAAAUCUCCGGGCUUAACUCGGAAAGGUCAACUGAUACUGUGCGACUAGAGUGCAGAAGGGGCAACUGGAAUUCUCGGUGUAGCGGUGAAAUGCGUAGAUAUCGUAAGGAAGACCAGUGGCGAAGGCGGAUCUCUGGACAGUUACUGACACUGAGGCACGAAGGCCAGGGGAGCAAACGGG
rnacentral:rRNA from 1 species